rnacentral:rRNA from 1 species
UACGAAGGGGGCUAGCGUUGUUCGGAUUUACUGGGCGUAAAGCGUGCGCAGGCGGCUUUGCAAGACAGAUGUGAAAUCCCCGGGCUUAACCUGGGAACUGCAUUUGUGACUGCAUGGCUAGAGUGCGGCAGAGGGGAUGGAAUUCCGCGGUGUAGCAGUGAAAUGCGUAGAUAUGCGGAGGAACACCGAUGGCGAAGGCAAUCCCCUGGGCCUGCACUGACGCUCAUGCACGAAAGCGUGGGGAGCAAACAGG